rnacentral:rRNA from 1 species
AGCGUUAUCCGGAAUCAUUGGGCGUAAAGCGCCUGUAGGUUGUUUAAUAAGUCUGUUGUUAAAGACUAGGGCUCAACCCUAGAAAAGCAAUGGAAACUACUAGACUAGAGUAUGGCAGGGGUAGAGGGAAUUUCUAGUGUAGCGGUGAAAUGCGUAGAUAUUAGAAAGAACACCGGUGGCGAAAGCGCUCUACUGGACCAUUACUGACACUCAGAGGCGAAAGCUAGGGUAGCAAAAGGGAUUAGAUACCCCUGUAGUCCUAGCCGUAAACGAUGGAUACUACAUGUUGUGCUUAUUGUACAGUAUGGUAGCUAACGCGUUAAGUAUCCCGCCUGGGGAGUACGCUCGCAAGGGUGAAACUCAAAGGAAUUGACGGGGGCCCGCACAAGCGGUGGAGCAUGUGGUUUAAUUCGAUGCAACGCGAAGAACCUUACCAGGGCUUGACAUACUACAAAUUCUUUAGAGAUGAAGAAGUGCCUUCGGGAAUGUAGAUACAGGUGGUGCAUGGCUGUCGUCAGCUCGUGUCGUGAGAUGUUGGGUUAAGUCCCGCAACGAGCGCAACCCUUAUUUUUAGUUACUAAUUCGUUAGGUUCUCUAGAAAGACUGCCGGUGACAAACCGGAGGAAGGUGAGGAUGACGUCAAGUCAGCAUGCCCCUUAUGUCCUGGGCUACACACGUGCUACAAUGGUUAAGACAAAGAGUCGCGAGCUCGCGAGAGUCAGCUAAUCUCAUAAACUUAGCCUAAGUUCAGAUUGCA